GCCCGCUUCGGCAGCAUAUGCGAAAAUUGGAACGGUAUGGAGAAGAUCAGUGUGGCCCCUGCACAAGGCUGACAUGCAAAUUUGUGAAGCCUUUCAUAUUUAA
ensembl:snRNA U6 U6 spliceosomal RNA